rnacentral:rRNA from 1 species
AGAGAUCAUGGCUCAGAUUGAACGCUGGCGGCGUGCCUAACACAUGCAAGUCGAGCGGCAGCGCGGGAGCAAUCCUGGCGGCGAGCGGCGGACGGGUGAGCAAUAUUUGGGAAUCUGCCUAUUAGUGGGGGACAACCCGGGGAAACUCGGGCUAAUACCGCAUACGCACUACGGUGGAAAGCCGGGGACCGCAAGGCCUGGCGCUAAUAGAUGAGCCCAAAUCGGAUUAGCUAGUUGGUGAGGUAAUGGCUCACCAAGGCUACGAUCCGUAGCUGGUCUGAGAGGACGACCAGCCACACCGGAACUGAGACACGGUCCGGACUCCUACGGGAGGCAGCAGUGGGGAAUAUUGGACAAUGGGCGAAAGCCUGAUCCAGCGACGCCGCGUGGGUGAAGAAGGCCUGCGGGUUGUAAAGCCCUUUCGGUGGGGAAGAAAAGCCUCGGCUUAACACGUCGGGGUCUUGACGUAACCCAAGAAAGAAGCACCGGCUAACUCUGUGCCAGCAGCCGCGGUAAUACAGAGGGUGCGAGCGUUAAUCGGAAUUACUGGGCGUAAAGCGCGCGUAGGCGGCUUUGCAAGUCGAGUGUGAAAUCCCCAGGCUUAACCUGGGAACUGCUCUCGAGACUGCAUCGCUAGAGUAUGGGAGAGGGAAGUGGAAUUUCAGGUGUAGCGGUGAAAUGCGUAGAUAUCUGAAGGAACAUCAGUGGCGAAAGCGACUUCCUGGACCAAUACUGACGCUCAUGUGCGAAAGCGUGGGGAGCAAACAGGAUUAGAUACCCUGGUAGUCCACGCCAUAAACGAUGACAACUGGAUGUCGGGAGGGUCUGCCUCUCGGUGUCGUAGCUAACGCGUUAAGUUGUCCGCCUGGGGAGUACGGCCGCAAGGUUGAAACUC